rfam:Homo sapiens chromosome 6, GRCh38 reference primary assembly.
CCAAAGGCUCUUUUAAGAGCCACCCAGAUACCCACUAAAAGAGCUG